ACCUCCUAUAAACUCAAACCCUACUUGGUGCUGGCCAAUACCCAUUUGCUUCUUGUCCCAAUUUUAUUUUAUGUUGAUUCAAGAGGUGAGAGAAACUCCAUUGUAGCCUGUGGCCCUUGUGCCUUUGCAGGUUUUCGGCAGUGUAAAGUAGUAAAGCUUUAGAGAUGGAACCACCUCCUUCUCAAGGGUUUUCAGGUUAUGAAGCCAAGGAUUACAAGGUAGAAGAUGAAGAAGACAGGGUAACGAAUUAUUGCUGCUCCUGCUGCUACGACUGUAUGGAUAACUGCCUCGGAUAUUGCUGUGGUUCUUAUUAAAACUCUCUCUCUCUCUCUCUCUCUCUCUCUCUCUCUAAAUAUGCUAAAACUCAAGAAAUCCUUUGGGCUGGCUAUAUGGUAUGACUUAUUUCAUGACUAAUUAUAACUAGUGAAUGCCUUUUUAUUUUUUCUUUUCAUCUUAUCUCUUUCCAUGUACUAAUGCUAUUUUCAUUUUAUAGAGACCAUUUAUUUUUGGUAUAA